UCCUUAAUGGACUUUCCCUUACCCCUGUCUAUAUCCUACCAUUUGGUCUGGUCCCUCCUCAGUGCUUUAGUUCCACAGAAGAGGUAAGAUGUCUGUUACUGCUCUAAUCACCUCAAAAGUUUUAUGGUUGAUUUUAAGAGUUAUUCUUUUGCUGAAUCAACUUGUCUUACCUCCAGCUAUAGCAGCAUUAUGCUUUUAUCAGGUUAGUACUGUGUAGCAUAUUCCCAAAGUGAUUAAUGGAGACAGGCAGAGCACAUGGGAUCUAAAAUGUCUGCCAUGAGAAAACCUGUAUGCUGUAAUCCUCACAGUUAUAAACUGCUUAUUGUACUAUGCUGAGGUUGUUAUGUACUAAUGUGCUUUGUAUAUUAGCUAUGUUGCUUUUCCUUACAUUUUCCUGUAAUAUGUCAGUGGGGGUGUAUUGAAUUAACUGCCUGUUGUAAUGUAGGUGGGCUGGUGGCCUGUGAUGUACCUGAAAUUGGCAGCGUUCUCCUUACUGUUUUACAGUGCUUUAGUUCCACAGAAGAGGUGGGCUGGUGGCCUGUGAUGUACCUGAAAUUGGCAGCGUUCUCCUUACUGUUUUACAGGUCCCCAGCAGACAGUGCCAAUCAAUAAAGCAUUGUAAAGUUA